CAGGAUGAACGCUGGCGGCGUGCUUAACACAUGCAAGUCGAACGGAGUAUUGACGCUGAGGAGUGGAGAGCUUGCUCAAAGCAAAUCUUGUCGAUACGUUAGUGGCGGACGGGUGAGUAACGCGUGGGUAACCUGCCGUAUGCAGGGGGACAACAGUUGGAAACGACUGCUAAUACCGCAUAUGCACACAGUACCGCAUGGUACAGGGUGGAAAGAAUUUCGGCAUACGAUGGACCCGCGUCUGAUUAGCUAGUUGGUGAGGUAACGGCCCACCAAGGCGACGAUCAGUAGCCGGCCUGAGAGGGUGAACGGCCACAUUGGGACUGAGACACGGCCCAAACUCCUACGGGAGGCAGCAGUGGGGAAUAUUGCACAAUGGGGGAAACCCUGAUGCCAGCGACGCCGCGUGAGUGAAGAAGUAUUUCGGUAUGUAAAGCUCUAUCAGCAGGGAAGAAAAUGACGGUACCUGACUAAGAAGCCCCGGCUAACUACGUGCCAGCCGCCGC
rnacentral:rRNA from 1 species